rnacentral:sRNA from 1 species
GCAGUGCGCGACGGCGGCGGCGGCGCGGGAGGUUCAGAGCGGGAGCCCGGGCUCGCGGACGGCAUGGAGGACUACGAGCAGGAGCUGUGCGGCGUCGAGGACGAUUUCCACAACCAGUUCGCGGCCGAGCUGGAGGUGCUGGCCGAGCUGGAAGGGGCGUCGACUCCGUCGCCCUCCGGGGUCCCUGUGUCCACCGCGGGCCGACCCCCGCGGACGUUCGAGGAGGCCCUCACCAGAGGGGACGCGGCCUCCAGUCCCGCCCCAGCCGCAUCUGUGGGCAGCAGCCAGGGCGGCGCCAGGAAGAGGCAGGCGGCCCCCCAUCUUGGAGGAUUACGUCCACGUGACAUCCACGGAGGGCGUCCGGGCCUAUCUGGUGCUGCGUGCUGACCCCAUGGCCACGGGGGUGCAGGGCUCUCUCCUCCACGUCUCAUGGCGAGGCGGUGGCCAGCUGGACCUGCUGGGUGUGUCCUUUGCCUCCCUGAAGGAGCAGGUCGACGGCGAGGUUGUGGCUGCGGGUUUGCUGGGGGGCGGUGGCAGGGCCGCCUGAGCCCUCCUGAUCCCAGCCUGUUGUUUACACAGCGGCGGGAGCGGCUGCUUCAGGAAGCCCAGAGGCUCUCAGACACCCUGCACAGUCUCAGGUCGGGGGAGGAGAAGGCAGCACAGCCCGUGGGGGCCCCUGAGGAGGAGCCGACUGACGGCCAAGAUGCCUCCACUCACUGCCUCUGGGUGGAUGAGUUUGCACCCCAGCACUACACGGAGCUGCUCAGUGAUGACGUGAGGUCUUGCUCUCGCUCAAGUGUGGCUGGCUUUCUUUGUUCCCAAGAGGGAAGAACCUGGGCCCAGUGAUUUUUGCACAGCCAAUCCACUGGGCCUCGGGGAUGGAGUGGGGCUCUGGUUUGUCCCUUUGAGUUGUAAGGUGGGGAACUGAGCACAGGGCUGUGUGCUACUGGUUCCCCGUGGCCUGUGAGGCAGGCCAGGGGUCCAGGGUGUCACCUGAUCCAAGUCUCUGUUCCCUUUCCUGCCUUCGUAGCAGCUGACACUGGGGUGACCUUGGGGAGGGCAGGGGCCUCCCAGAUGGGUUGUGGCCAGAGCCGUGGGGAUGGAGCCCCUGGUGUGAGCCUCACGGUCACUCACUGGCAGGAAGACGGGGGUGGCCGUCCACCCUGUGGCUCGGUGUCCCGUGGUGCACGGGGCUCACCGUGGCAGGCUGACUGUCCGUGCCUGGAGGCGGUGCCCUCAGGCUGUGCCUCCCUUCCCGUCCUGCCCGCAGUUCACCAACCGCUGCCUGCUCAAGUGGUUGAAGUUGUGGGACUUGGUGGUGUUUGGCCACGAGAGGCCUGCCCGGAAGCCCAGGCCCAGUGUCGAGCCGGCCCGGGUCAGCAAGGAGGCCACAGCCCCAGGCAAGUGGAAAAGCCACGAACAGGUGCUGGAGGAGAUGCUGGAGGCCGGGCUGGACCCGAGCCAGCGACCGAGGCAGAAGGUGAGCCCCGCUGGCUGUGCCGCCGGCAACAAGCCUGAGGCUUUGCACUCGGCGCCGGCACCCUCGCAGCUUGUUGACUUUCUCUAGGAGCCGUGGGUGUGAUGACGUGUGGGUCUCGGCGUGCAGCGCCAUUAGCACGAGUUAGAACUGGAUCUGUUCCAGUAACAGCUCGGGGGAAGUCAUUGUCCCUGAAGGGCUGUGUGGCUGGCCAGGACGAUCUGGGUGGAUGGUGGGUGGUUUCUGGGGGUCGGUCACAUGGGUACCAGUUGUGUUUUGUCUGCACGAAUCUUGUUUUGGGCAGGGGUUUUUUCUGUUGCUAUAUUGGUGCGUGAAUGUGCUGAGUUUUGUUAUUAUUUGAUGGCUGGAGUGGGGUGGGGGGAGCACCCAGCCUGUGGGACACGUGGCAGUCCCUGGCUGCUGGGCCGGGAGCGUCCUGUAGGUGCGGUGCACACCACGCCUCCAUCUACCUGGGCUGCAGGUGGCACUGCUCUGUGGGCCCCCGGGGCUGGGGAAGACCACCCUGGCACAUGUGAUUGCACGUCACGCGGGGUACUCUGUGGUGGAGAUGAACGCCAGGUGAGUGACGUGAGGCCUGUCUCUGGCUCGCCUUCUGUUCUGAUGUGUUUGAGUUUUGGCGGCGGACCUGAAACCGGGUGUGGAUGUUCCCGUCUUGGGGGUGGUGGGGGCCUGGGCGUGUGGGCCGGGGAAACGUGUCCUUCCUCGGGGUUCACGGGAUCGGCAGCAGCCGCGUCACGUGGCAGUCUCCACGCAAAUGCAGCAGCCCUGGUCUUGGGAGGCUGCCCUGCCGGGGACGCCCACUGCCCUGACGACCCCUGACCUCCCUGUUGCAGUGAUGACCGUAGCCCGGAGGUCUUCCGCACACGUAUCGAGGCGGCCACCCAGAUGGAGUCGGUGCUGGGUGCUGGCGGGAAGCCCAACUGCCUGGUCAUCGAUGAGAUCGACGGGGCCCCCGUGGUGGGCUCCUGAUGCCUGGGUAGGUGGGUGGGCGGGCAGGCAGGCGGGCAGCAGGGCCUGGACUCACUGUGUCCUCUGCAUCUGCCCCAAGGCCGCCAUCAACGUCCUCCUGAGCAUCCUGAACCGCAAGGGGCCACAGGAGGUGGAGCCACAGGGCCCGGCUGUGCCUUCGGGUGGCGGCCGACGGCGCCGGGCAGAGGGGGGGCUCCUCAUGAGGCCCAUUAUCUGCAUUUGCAACGACCAGUUCGCACCUUCCCUGCGGCAGCUGAAGCAGCAGGCCUUCCUGCUCCACUUCCCGCCAACUCUUCCCUCGAGGCUGGUGCAGCGGCUCCAGGAGGUCUCCCUGCGGCAGGGCAUGAGGGCCGACCCGGGGGUGCUGGCCGCCCUCUGUGAGAAAACGGACAAUGACAUCCGGGCCUGCAUCAACACCCUGCAGGUGGGCGGCCGGCAGGCACCGCGUGGGGUAGGGUGGGGUCGGGAGUUGGCCGCCUCUCAUGCCUCCGCCCCGUGUCUAGUUCCUGUACAGCCGGGGCCAGCGGGAGCUGAGCGUGCGGGACGUGCAGGCCACACGCGUGGGCCUCAAGGACCAGCGCAGAGGGCUCUUCUCGGUGUGGCAGGAGGUCUUCCAGCUGCCUCGAGCCCAGAGGCGCCGUGUGGGCCAGGACCCUGCCCUGCCUGCUGACACACUCCUGCUGGGUGACGGGGACGUGGGCUCCCUGACCUCCGCCUCACAGCGAUUCUACCGUGUUCUGCGUGCCGCUGCCUCUGCGGGCGAGCACGAGAAGGUGGUCCAGGGUCUGUUUGACAACUUCCUGCGCCUGCGGCUGCGAGACUCCAGCCUGGGCGCUGUGUGUGCGGCCCUCGACUGGCUGGCCUUCGAUGACCUGCUGGCGGGGGCUGCUCACCACAGCCAGAGCUUCCAGCUGCUGCGCUAUCCGCCCUUCCUGCCCGUGGCCUUCCACGUGCUCUUUGCUUCCAGCCACACACCCAGGAUCACCUUCCCCAGCAGCCAGCAGGAGGCCCAGAACCGGAUGAGCCAGAUGAGGAACCUUAUCCAGACGCUGGUGUCCGGCAUUGCGCCAGCUACGCGCAGCCGGGCCACGCCCCAGGCCCUGCUCCUGGAUGCCCUCUGCCUGCUCCUGGACAUUCUUGCGCCCAAGCUCCGCCCCGUGAGCACGCAGCUGUACAGCACCCGUGAGAAGCAACAGCUGGCCAGCCUGGUGGGCACGAUGCUCACUUACAGCCUGACCUACCGCCAGGAGCGCACGCCCGAUGGCCAGUACAUCUACAGGCUGGAGCCGAACGUGGAGGAACUCUGCCGCUUCCCUGAGCUGCCUGCCCGCAAGCCCCUCACCUACCAGACGAAGCAGCUCAUUGCCCGCGAGAUCGAGGUGGAGAAGAUGCGGCGGGCGGAGGUUUCUGCCCGGGCAGAGGACAGCCCCCAGGUGGACGGGAGCCCCCUAGGGCUCGAGGGUCUGCUGGGGGGCAGUGGGGAGAAAGGGGUCCGCCGACCUGCCCCACGCAACCAUGAGCAGCGGCUGGAGCACAUCAUGAGGCGAGCGGCCCGGGAGGAACAGCCUGAGAAGGAUUCUUUGGACGUGUGGUCAUCAGGAACACAGCAGUCCCGAGUGCAGGUGUGUGGGGGGUGUUGUGGGGUUGUGGGGGGCCUGGGUGCUGGGGUCUAGCUGAGGAGCAACCCUGUGGCCCCGCAGGGGACAUGGCCCUGGAGCAGGACUCAAUGGAGCGGCGCAUGGGCACGGCAGUGGGCAGGAGCGAGGUCUGGUUCCGCUUCAACGAGGGUGUCUCCAAUGCUGUGCGGCGCAGCCUGUACAUCAGGGACUUGCUCUAAUUCUCUCUGACCUGCGGACACGCCCCCGCAUUGCUUCCCGCAGAGUGCAGGGAGACACAAACCUGGAGAUGUGUUUAUAAAGUCACGCCUUU